AUAAGAUAUCAAGGGCAACAGGUGAAUGCCUUGGCGCUGAGAGGCGAUGAAAGACGCGGUAAGCUGCGAUAAGCAUCGGGGAGGAGCUAAACAUCCUACGAUCCGAUGAUUUCUGAAUGGGGAAACCCGAUGGGAGUCAUGUCCCAUCAUCCUGAGCUGAAUAUAUAGGCCCAGAGAAGCCAACCCGGGGAAGUGAAACAUCUCAGUACCCGGAGGAAGAGAAAUCAAACGAGACUCCCAAAGUAGCGGCGAGCGAAAUGGGAAGAGCCCAAACCGGGUGGUUUCGACCAUUCGGGGUUGUAGGGCCGGCAUACGCGAUUCUGGAGUAGGCAGAGGAAGUGAGCUGGAAAGCUCCGCCACAGCGGGUGAUAGCCCCGUACUCGAAACCGAAAAGGACGCAGCCGGUACCUGAGUACUGCGAGGCACGUGGAACCUCGUGGGAAUCUAGGGGGACCAUCCUCUAAGGCUAAGUACUCCUCAGCGACCGAUAGUGAACUAGUACCGUGAGGGAAAGGUGAAAAGAACCCCUGUUAGGGGAGUGAAAUAGAAUCUGAAACCUGUUGCCUACAAGCUGCGAGAGCUACUUCGGUAGUGAUCGCGUGCCUUUUGUAUAAUGAGUCAGCGAGUUACUCUACCGUGCGAGGUUAAGCGAAAGCGUAGCCGUAGUGAAAGCGAGGCUUAAUAGGCCGACUAGUACGUUGGAGUAGACCCGAAACCGGGUGAUCUAUCCAUGAGCAGGUUGAAGCAAGGGUAAAGCCUUGUGGAGGACCGAACCGUCAACGGCUGAAAACGUUCCGGAUGACUUGUGGAUAGGGGUGAAAGGUCAAUCAAACCCGGUGAUAGCUGGUUCUCCCCGAAAUAUAUUGAGGUAUAGCCUCGGGAAUUGAUUAGCGGAGGUAAAGCACUGACAGAGCUAGGGGUCCUACCAGAUUACCAAACUCUAUCAAACUCAGAAUGCCGCUUAAUCGUAUCCCGGGAGUCAGACGGCGGGUGCGAAGGUUCGUCGUCAAAAGGGAAACAGCCCAGACCAACAGCUAAGGUCUCCAAAUCCAUGCUCAGUGGUGAAGGUAGUGGAACCGUUUAGACAGCCAGGACGUUGGCUUAGAAGCAGCCAUCGUUUAAAGAAAGCGUAAUAGCUCACUGGUCUAAUGGCUCUGCGCCGAAAAUGUAACGGGGCUAAGCAUGGUACCGAAGCUUUGGCAAUCUCCUUUGGGGAUUGGGUAGGGGAGCGUUCGCUGCGGGCUGAAGGUGUGCCGGAAGGCAUGCUGGACUGCAGUGAAGUGAUUAUGCUGACAUGAGUAACGAUAAAAUAUGUGAAAAACAUAUUCGCCGAAAACCCGAGGUUUCCUGGGUAAAGGUAAUCUUCCCAGGGUUAGUCGGAUCCUAAGGUGAGGGUGAAAGCCGUAACCGAUGGAAAACAGGUUAAUAUUCCUGUACUUGUUGUGUAGCGCGAUGGAGGGACGCAGGAAGAUAGGCGGGCCGGGUGUUGGAUAUCCCGGUGCAAGCGUGUAGGAAUAUCCGGUAGGCAAAUCCGCCGGACGAAUCUGAGACGCGAGUCCGUGGGCGCAAGCCCUGAAGCCGUUGAGUCUAUGCUGCCUAGAAAAGCUCCUAAGUUUAUCCACAGCAAUCCGUACCGCAAACCAACUCAGGUGGGUGGGAUGAACAAUCCAAGGCGCUCGAGAGAACUCUGGCCAAGGAACUCGGCAAAAUAACCCCGUAACUUCGGAAGAAGGGGUGCUCUCUAGGGUGACAUGUUUAACAUAUGAAGCCCCGGGGAGCCGCAGUGAAUUGGUGGUGGCGACUGUUUACUAAAAACAUAGGUCUGUGCGAAGUCCUAAAGACGACGUAUACGGACUGACGCCUGCCCGGUGCUGGAAGGUUAAAAGGAGGGGUCAGCGCAAGCAAAGCUCCGAAUUGAAGCCCCAGUAAACGGCGGCCGUAACUAUAACGGUCCUAAGGUAGCGAAAUUCCUUGUCGGGUAAGUUCCG
rnacentral:rRNA from 1 species